rnacentral:lncRNA from 1 species
GAAAAUUGGUUGUUUAUGUUGAGCUAGAUAUGUUCAAUCUAGUUUAAUUGACAUGUAAUUCUCUUACCAUUAUUCUAGCUGCAAAAGUAAUUUUUGAAUUGUUGUUUCUGUUAAGCUAAAAUCGUCAUGUGUAAAUAACUAAGCUAAAAAUCUUCAUGAUGAAGUCCGGGGAAGAUUGGUGGAACAUAUAUGCACUUAACAGAGCUAUGUAUUGAUUCACAUAUAGCAUUUUUGAAUGCGUAAAUAAUGGAUGUGUUCAUGUUUCGUAGGCGAAGAGAAUAUGGAAGAAAUUUUGUGCACAGAAUCCGAAAAUGAUAAUGUCAAGGACAAUGUGAAUGUUGUGGAAGGUAAUACGGAAGGAGGAGAUAGUUUGACUACGCCUGAGGUUGGCAUGAAGUUCAAGGAUGAAAAAGAAGUAUAUAAGUUUUAUGAGAGAUAUGCUUAUGCCGUGGGUUUUCCGAUUAGGAAGAGGACUUCAUCGAGGGAUGAUGCUGGGGUUUUGAAAUUUGUCACGUUCACAUGCAGUCGUUAGGGACGAAAAAGCAGUAAUUCAAGCACUUCUCUGAAACCGCAGCCAACAAUUCAGAGAAUAUCUGCAUUUUUAGAUAUCCAUGGGUAUUUGGAAACUUAACACUGUCCACCUCGAACACAACCAUGAGCCAAGUCCUACUAAGUCGAAGUUAUAUCGGUGCAAUCGAGUGUUGAGUGCCCAUGUGAAACGGAAGUUUGAAGUGAAUGACAUAGCAGGAAUACCGUUGUAUAAAAGUUUUAACUCGGCACUUGUUGAAUCGGGUGGUUAUGAGAAUAUGACGUGUGUCUUAAAGGAUUGACGUAACUACAUUGAACAAGUGAGAUGACUCAGACUUGGUGAGGGUGAUGCAGCUGCAAUACAGUCUUACUUUUCUGAAAUGCAAGCACAGUGCUCGAAAAUUUUCUUUAGUAUUGACUUGGAUGAUGAUUUAUGGUUGAAGAAUGUCUUCUGGGUAAACAACCGGUGUAGGCAAGCAUAUAAAGAGUUUAGGGAUGUAGUCACGUUCGAUACAACUUAUCUUACGAAUAAGUAUGACAUGCCUUUCGCCCUGUUUGUUGGCGUUAAUCACCAUGGGCAAUCGACGUUGUUGGGUUGCGGUUUGGUAUCGAAUGAGGAUGCUAAUAUCUUUGUCUGGUUGUUUAGGGCAUGGCUUAAGUGCAUGGGUGGAAAAGCUCUACAUGGAAUAAUUACAGAUCAAGAUAGAGCCAUGUAGAAUGCAAUUGAAAUAAAUUUUCCAAAUACAAAACAUAGGUGAUGUUUGUGGCAUAUUUUGAAGAAGUUGCCAGAAAAUUUUAGAUACCACGUGGAUAAAGCUUCGAUAUUUUUGACUGUAUAUGUACUGGUUUAUGAUUCGCAAUCUAUCGAAGAAUUUGAGGAAGGUUGGAGAGAUAUGAUCAAAUGUAUGAGUUGCAUGAUAACGUUUGGUUGUUCGGAUUGUACGAAAAUAGAGUUUGUUGGGUGCCAUGUUUCCUGAGAACAACCUUUUGGACUGGUAUGUCAACGACACAAAGAAGUGAAAGUAUGAAUACCUUCUUCGAUAGUUAUGUACAUGCAAAGACAACAGUUUGUCGAGCAAUACGAACGAACAUUAUGGAAUAAGGUUGAAAAGGAGUUUAUUGCUGAUUUUAAGUCAUUCUCUGAAGUCUUACCGUGUGCAACAACAUACAAAAUUGAGAAGUAAUAUCAGUCAUACUAUACUAUUUCAAAGUUCAGAGAGGUUCAAUCCGAGUUUACGAGAAGAUGUAUUGCGAUCUCAUAUCUGUAGUAGAAGGACAUACGGAGACGAAGCGUGAAGUACGUGAAGACGUAGUCCGUGGCCAGCGACGAAAGAAAACAAUAUUUAGAAAUGUAAAGUAAAUUAAAGUUGUCACUUGUUCGAGUUUUGGGGAAUAUUGUGUAGGCAUGCAAUUACAGUUUUGAUACGUAAUGACUUUACUGUCAUGUCGGAUCGGUACAUUUUGCGGAGGUGGAGGAAAGAUGUUACCAGGGCACACACGAGGGUCGCCGUUCACCACGAUGGUUUGGUUACCACUCCAGCACAGAUGAAGUAUGAUGGCAUGUGUCAUUCGUUUGUAGAGGUGACAAACCUUGCAGCAGACAAUGAAGGGAAGCAUGGUGUGAUCAUGUAUUGGAUACAAAAAAAAAAGAACUUAGUUCAACAAAGUUCGGUAGUAAUAACAUUUCGUAGUGUAUUCCAUCUGAAAAAAUAGGAAGCGGGAUUGUAAGGGAUCCGAAAGAAUCGAAGAGGAAGGGAGCACCUAGGACUAAACGGAGAAAAGGCUCGUGGAGGCGAGAUCGAAUAAAUCAAAUGUAUAUUCUAAUGUCACUCUUGUAUUCACUUUCUGUUGCAUAGUAAUUACCGGUGGUUAUUAUGCACAUGCAAGCACGAUCAAACCAAACAAAAGGAAAGAGUCUGAUACCGAAGCACAGUAAUAUCCCCAAUUUGACGGUAUAUUGUUCAUUUUUAAUUGAUGUGGU